AAACUAGGAUUAGAUACCCUUUUAUUUUUUUGUUUUAAGUAUUAACAGAUAAUCUUUAAACUUAAGAAUUCUGGCGGUUUCUUUUCUUAUCAGAGGGGUUUGCUUUUUAAUCGAUAAUCCUCGAUUAUUUUUUCUUUUCUUUUUAGUUUAUAUACCUCUGUUUGAAGAUGCGUUUUAAUUUUCUUUUCUUUUUAAAUUAUUAUUAUUUAAUUCAAGUCAAGGUUUAACUUAUAGAUUAGAUGAAGUUAUCCACAUAUUUUUAUUCUGUUUUUUAAUGGAGUUUUUAGGAUUUGUUAGUAAAAUCUUAGUAAAUUUUGGUCUUGAGUUAGUAAAAAGGUAUGUACAUAUUGCCCGUCACUCUUUAAAAGAUAAGUCGUAACAUAGUA
rnacentral:rRNA from 1 species